UCGUGGAGUGAUUUGUCUGCUUAAUUGCGUUAACGAACGAGACCUCAGCCUGCUAAUUAGACAUGCAAAUGACGACUUCGGUCAUCCAUUUGUAGAAGCGCUUCUUAGAGGGACUGCGUAUAUCCAGUACGAGGAAGUUUGAGGCAAUAACA
rnacentral:rRNA from 1 species